CACGUAGGGUGCGAGCGUUGUCCGGAAUUAUUGGGCGUAAAGAGCUCGUAGGCGGUUUGUCGCGUCGACUGUGAAAACCCGAGGCUUAACCUCGGGCCUGCAGUCGAUACGGGCAGACUAGAGUUCGGUAGGGGAGACUGGAAUUCCUGGUGUAGCGGUGAAAUGCGCAGAUAUCAGGAGGAACACCGGUGGCGAAGGCGGGUCUCUGGGCCGAUACUGACGCUGAGGAGCGAAAGCGUGGGGAGCGAACAGG
rnacentral:rRNA from 1 species